AAGGUGGUACCACUCCUUCCCAUCCCGAACAGGACAGUGAAACGCCUUCGCGCCGAUGAUAGUGGACGGACGUCUGUGAAAGUAGGUCAUCGUCAAGC
rnacentral:rRNA from 1 species